UACAGAGGUCCCGAGCGUUGUUCGGAUUCACUGGGCGUAAAGGGUGCGUAGGCGGUUCUGAAAGUCUGAUGUGAAAUCUCCAGGCCCAACCUGGAAACGGCAUUAGAAACUACAGGGCUAGAGGCUUGGAGGGGGAACUGGAAUGCUCGGUGUAGCAGUGAAAUGCGUAGAGAUCGAGCGGAACACCAGUGGCGAAGGCGAGUUCCUGGACAAGUCCUGACGCUGAGGCACGAAAGCCAGGGGGAGCAAACAGG
rnacentral:rRNA from 1 species